GAUGAACGCUAGCGGCAGGCUUAACACAUGCAAGUCGAGGGGCAGCGCGGGAUAUCAAUCUCCUGGCGGCGACCGGCGGACGGGUGCGUAACGCGUGAGCGACAUGCCCGUUGCCCGGGGACAACCAGUGGAAACGCCGACUAAUCCCCGAUGGGAUACGAUGCUUCAUGGCAUUGUAUUGAAAGUUACGGCGGCGACGGAUUGGCUCGCGUCCGAUUAGCUGGUUGGCGGGGGAACGGCCCACCGAGGCUGCGAUCGGUAGGGGUUCUGAGAGGAAGGCCCCCCACGAUGGGACGGAGACACGGCCCAAACGCGUACGGGAGGCAACAGUGAGGAAUAGUGGUCAAGGGGCGGAAGCCUGAACCAGCCAUGCCGCGUGCGGGAAGGAGGCCCUAUGGGAUGUGAACCGCUUGUGCCUGGGGGCAAUAAGGGCGUCGCGCACGUCCGAUGAGAGUACCAGGCGAAUAAGCAUCGGCUAACUCCGUG
rnacentral:rRNA from 1 species